GGCUGCAAAAUUACAUACUAAGUACAUUACUUUAAAAUUAGAGCAGAAUGUAAGUACCUAAAUAUAGUUGAUGUGCACACCCUGUUUACUUCUCGUGACAAAACAAGUCGAGUUUGUUUUUACUAGCGUACAUUAGAUGUACUCUGUGGUAAAAAUUCCACAGAGUUCCAGAGAUGGAGGUGGCUUUGUAUUGUCACCUCAUCAGGCAUCCUGCAUACCACACAUCACAGAGGAGGUCCAGUCUACAGGAGACACAGGGAGAUGCUCAGCAAAGAGAGCUGAGUGAGAAGAGAUAGCGUUCAGUGUGUGUGUGCUGGAGGAGCAAACAAAAAAAGCAAGGUUGACGUUCCUGUGACUUCAGAGCCUGUGUAGAAGUUGUGUUCAGACAAGGUCUACUGGAAAGAGAAGAGUUAAGGCAGCAGUAGGUCAUGGUACAUGCCAUGGCACAACCCGAUGAGAUGUAACCUGUACUCUAACAGGCAGCAGGUAGUCAGUACGCUGACGAUGCCUCCCAGCAGCCUGCCUUAAGAGAGCUUUGUAAGAGAGAAAAUAAAAAGGAAAAAAGGUUUUUCUGUUGGCUCACCUAGCUCCUAUGGAGAGGUACAUAAAACCAACACUCUAUGGACCUGCAGGGCAGUGAACACACAGGGAGUGCAGAGAAACGUCUGAGCCUACAGCAGCCAAGAGCCUGUUUCCAGUCCAGCAUUAACUGGGUGCUGGACACAAUGAUUUGGAGGCUCAGAGGCUCCAUCAAGUCAGCACUCAGACUCCACCUGGGUUUAAACUGACCCUUUUCCCUUUUCACAUAAACACAGCUCCCUGAACCUUGUUGCCUGUGUGUCAUCCCUCCACUGAAACCCUAAAGACAAAAGUUCACCUGA